rnacentral:rRNA from 1 species
GGUUAAGUUAGAAAGGGCGCACGGUGGAUGCCUUGACACUAGGAGUCGAUGAAGGACGGGACUAACGCCGAUAUGCUUCGGGGAGCUGUAAGUAAGCUUUGAUCCGAAGAUUUCCGAAUGGGGAAACCCACCAUACGUAAUGGUAUGGUAUCCUUAUCUGAAUACAUAGGGUAAGGAAGACAGACCCAGGGAACUGAAACAUCUAAGUACCUGGAGGAAGAGAAAGCAAAUGCGAUUUCCUGAGUAGCGGCGAGCGAAACGGAACAUAGCCCAAACCAAGAGGCUUGCCUCUUGGGGUUGUAGGACAUUCUAUACGGAGUUACAAAGGAACGAGGUAGACGAAGCGACCUGGAAAGGUCCGUCGUAGAGGGUAACAACCCCGUAGUCGAAACUUCGUUCUCUCUUGAAUGUAUCCUGAGUACGGCGGAACACGUGAAAUUCCGUCGGAAUCUGGGAGGACCAUCUCCCAAGGCUAAAUACUCCCUAGUGAUCGAUAGUGAACCAGUACCGUGAGGGAAAGGUGAAAAGCACCCCGGAAGGGGAGUGAAAGAGAUCCUGAAACCGUGUGCCUACAAAUAGUCAGAGCCCGUUAAUGGGUGAUGGCGUGCCUUUUGUAGAAUGAACCGGCGAGUUACGAUCCCGUGCGAGGUUAAGCUGAAGAGGCGGAGCCGCAGCGAAAGCGAGUCUGAAUAGGGCGUUUAGUACGUGGUCGUAGACCCGAAACCAGGUGAUCUACCCAUGUCCAGGGUGAAGUUCAGGUAACACUGAAUGGAGGCCCGAACCCACGCACGUUGAAAAGUGCGGGGAUGAGGUGUGGGUAGCGGAGAAAUUCCAAUCGAACCUGGAGAUAGCUGGUUCUCCCCGAAAUAGCUUUAGGGCUAGCCUUAAGUGUAAGAGUCUUGGAGGUAGAGCACUGAUUGGACUAGGGGUCCUCAUCGGAUUACCGAAUUCAGUCAAACUCCGAAUGCCAAUGACUUAUCCUUAGGAGUCAGACUGCGAGUGAUAAGAUCCGUAGUCAAAAGGGAAACAGCCCAGACCGCCAGCUAAGGUCCCAAAGUGUGUAUUAAGUGGAAAAGGAUGUGGAGUUGCUUAGACAACUAGGAUGUUGGCUUAGAAGCAGCCACCAUUUAAAGAGUGCGUAAUAGCUCACUAGUCGAGUGACUCUGCGCCGAAAAUGUACCGGGGCUAAAUACACCACCGAAGCUGCGGAUUGAUACCAAUGGUAUCAGUGGUAGGGGAGCGUUCUAAGGACAGUGAAGUCAGACCGUAAGGACUGGUGGAGUGCUUAGAAGUGAGAAUGCCGGUAUGAGUAGCGAAAGACGGGUGAGAAUCCCGUCCACCGAAUGCCUAAGGUUUCCUGAGGAAGGCUCGUCCGCUCAGGGUUAGUCAGGACCUAAGCCGAGGCCGACAGGCGUAGGCGAUGGACAACAGGUUGAUAUUCCUGUACCACCUCUUUAUCGUUUGAGCAAUGGAGGGACGCAGAAGGAUAGAAGAAGCGUGCGAUUGGUUGUGCACGUCCAAGCAGUUAGGCUGAUAAGUAGGCAAAUCCGCUUAUCGUGAAGGCUGAGCUGUGAUGGGGAAGCUCCUUAUGGAGCGAAGUCUUUGAUUCCCCGCUGCCAAGAAAAGCUUCUAGCGAGAUAAAAGGUGCCUGUACCGCAAACCGACACAGGUAGGCGAGGAGAGAAUCCUAAGGUGUGCGAGAGAACUCUGGUUAAGGAACUCGGCAAAAUGACCCCGUAACUUCGGGAGAAGGGGUGCUUUCUUAACGGAAAGCCGCAGUGAAUAGGCCCAAGCGACUGUUUAGCAAAAACACAGCUCUCUGCGAAGCCGUAAGGCGAAGUAUAGGGGGUGACACCUGCCCGGUGCUGGAAGGUUAAGGAGAGGGGUUAGCGUAAGCGAAGCUCUGAACUGAAGCCCCAGUAAACGGCGGCCGUAACUAUAACGGUCCUAAGGUAGCGAAAUUCCUUGUCGGGUAAGUUCCGACCCGCACGAAAGGUGUAACGAUUUGGGCACUGUCUCAACCAGAGACUCGGUGAAAUUAUAGUACCUGUGAAGAUGCAGGUUACCCGCGACAGGACGGAAAGACCCCGUGGAGCUUUACUGUAGCCUGAUAUUGAAUUUUGGUACAGUUUGUACAGGAUAGGCGGGAGCCUUUGAAACCGGAGCGCUAGCUUCGGUGGAGGCGCUGGUGGGAUACCGCCCUGACUGUAUUGAAAUUCUAACCUACGGGUCUUAUCGACCCGGGAGACAGUGUCAGGUGGGCAGUUUGACUGGGGCGGUCGCCUCCUAAAGUGUAACGGAGGCGCCCAAAGGUUCCCUCAGAAUGGUUGGAAAUCAUUCGUAGAGUGCAAAGGCAUAAGGGAGCUUGACUGCGAGACCUACAAGUCGAGCAGGGACGAAAGUCGGGCUUAGUGAUCCGGUGGUUCCGCAUGGAAGGGCCAUCGCUCAACGGAUAAAAGCUACCCCGGGGAUAACAGGCUUAUCUCCCCCAAGAGUCCACAUCGACGGGGAGGUUUGGCACCUCGAUGUCGGCUCAUCGCAUCCUGGGGCUGUAGUCGGUCCCAAGGGUUGGGCUGUUCGCCCAUUAAAGCGGUACGCGAGCUGGGUUCAGAACGUCGUGAGACAGUUCGGUCCCUAUCCGUCGUGGGCGUAGGAAAUUUGAGAGGAGCUGUCCUUAGUACGAGAGGACCGGGAUGGACGCACCGCUGGUGUACCAGUUGUUCUGCCAAGGGCAUAGCUGGGUAGCUAUGUGCGGAAGGGAUAAGUGCUGAAAGCAUCUAAGCAUGAAGCCCCCCUCAAGAUGAGAUUUCCCAUAGCGUAAGCUAGUAAGAUCCCUGAAAGAUGAUCAGGUUGAUAGGUUCGAGGUGGAAGCGUGGUGACAUGUGGAGCUGACGAAUACUAAUAGAUCGAGGACUUAACCAU